rnacentral:rRNA from 1 species
AGUGAACGCUGGCGGUAGGCUUAACACAUGCAAGUCGAACGGCAGCACAGUAAUAGCUUGCUCUUACGGGUGGCGAGUGGCGGACGGGUGAGGAAUACAUCGGAAUCUACUUUUUCGUGGGGGUUAACGUAGGGAACCUUACGCUAAUACCGCAUACGACCUACGGGUGAAAGCAGGGGAUCUUCGGACCUUGCGCGAUUGAACGAGCCGGUGUCGGGUUAGCUAGUUGGCGGGGUAACGGCCCACCAAGGCGUCGAUCCGUUGCUGGGCUGAGGGGAUGAAGCGGCCCAGAGGGAGUGGAAGACCGUACAGAGACCGAGAGGAGGCCGCGAUUGGGAAGAGUGGAAGAAGGGCGCAAGCCUGAUCCAGCCAUACCGCGUUGGUGAAGAAGGGCUUCGGGUUGUAAAGCCCUUUUGUUGGGAAAGAAAAGCAGCAGGAUAAUACCCCGCUGUUCUGACGGUACCCAGAGAAGAAGCACCGGCUAACUUCGUG